rnacentral:rRNA from 1 species
UUGCUCCACCGGAAAAAGAAGAGUGGCGAACGGGUGAGUAACACGUGGGUAACCUGCCCAUCAGAAGGGGAUAACACUUGGAAACAGGUGCUAAUACCGUAUAACAAUCGAAACCGCAUGGUUUUGAUUUGAAAGGCGCUUUCGGGUGUCGCUGAUGGAUGGACCCGCGGUGCAUUAGCUAGUUGGUGAGGUAACGGCUCACCAAGGCCACGAUGCAUAGCCGACCUGAGAGGGUGAUCGGCCACAUUGGGACUGAGACACGGCCCAAACUCCUACGGGAGGCAGCAGUAGGGAAUCUUCGGCAAUGGACGAAAGUCUGACCGAGCAACGCCGCGUGAGUGAAGAAGGUUUUCGGAUCGUAAAACUCUGUUGUUAGAGAAGAACAAGGAUGAGAGUAACUGUUCAUCCCUUGACGGUAUCUAACCAGAAAGCCACGGCUAACUACGUGCCAGCAGCCGCGGUAAUACGUAGGUGGCAAGCGUUGUCCGGAUUUAUUGGGCGUAAAGCGAGCGCAGGCGGUUUCUUAAGUCUGAUGUGAAAGCCCCCGGCUCAACCGGGGAGGGUCAUUGGAAACUGGGAGACUUGAGUGCAGAAGAGGAGAGUGGAAUUCCAUGUGUAGCGGUGAAAUGCGUAGAUAUAUGGAGGAACACCAGUGGCGAA